AUUGAACGCUGGCGGCAUGCUUUACACAUGCAAGUCGAACGGUAACAGGCCGCAAGGUGCUGACGAGUGGCGAACGGGUGAGUAAUGCAUCGGAACGUGCCCAGUCGUGGGGGAUAACGCAGCGAAAGCUGUGCUAAUACCGCAUACGAUCUAUGGAUGAAAGCGGGGGACCGUAAGGCCUCACGCGAUUGGAGCGGCCGAUGUCAGAUUAGGUAGUUGGUGGGGUAAAGGCCCACCAAGCCAACGAUCUGUAGCGGGUCUGAGAGGACGACCAGCCACACGGGGACUGAGACACGGCCCAGACUCCUACGGGAGGCAGCAGUGGGGAAUUUUGGACAAUGGGCGCAAGCCUGAUCCAGCAAUGCCGCGUGCAGGAAGAAGGCCUUCGGGUUGUAAACUGCUUUUGUACGGAACGAAACGGUCUGGGUUAAUACCCUGGGCUAAUGACGGUACCGUAAGAAUAAGCACCGGCUAACUACGUGCCAGCAGCCGCGGUAAAAC
rnacentral:rRNA from 1 species